CAGCUCACCUUCAUCGUUUAACAAACUUGGCAAACGUAAGCGAUCUGAUGAAUGCAGAAAGAAGUGUAGAUCAAACUUCAGAAGCUCCGUGCUUAAAAACUAUACAAAUUUCAGCAAAAGUGGGCUUCCUCAGCGAUUUCUAUACUAUGAAUCUGGGGACUGGAUAGACUAUCCUCAUGGAGUUGUUGACUUGGUCAGGGAGCACUUUCGACAGAAAAAUGCAGUUAUAAAUGUGGAUUGGAACGGCUGCCGUUUGUUGCUAGAUAUUCUGUUUAUGAUACAGGUGGAAAUUAAAACUGGUCAAGCGAAGCAAAUUGCUUGGAUUGAUGAAGCAGGUUGUUGUUUCUUUCCGGAGAUCCUUUCCUGUCAUUUAGAAAAAGAAAAGUACUGCCAUUCUGAGUUACAGAGUGAUUCACCUUAUGUGCUGAAAGAAGCCAAAGGGCCCCAAGAGAUCACAUUGAAGCUUGAGAUUGGAAUAACGGGAUUGAGUAGCUCCAAUACAGAGGAAUGUGUUGAGGAGUCGAAUAGUCCUGCUAAGAGGAUAAAAAUUGAACAAAACUCUUUUGGUAGUCGAGAUGAUAGGGAAAAUGACUAUUGCAACCAAAUAUCAGAUGCCCAAAUGCAGGAAAUCAAUAAGGGAACUCGACAGUUCGAUGAAAACAUAUUGCCCGAGUCGCCAGUUCUGGAGCAAACAUUGGACUCUAAUUCAGUACGAGACAUGUUUAAUCAGGGCAUUGGUUCCUCUGUGAGUGCAUGUAUAGUAGAGAUUAAGCACUGCACUAAUGAUUUGAUGCAAGCAAGAGCUGAGCUGUUCCAUAAGCAGGUUGAAAUAACUAAGAAGUACCGCGGGAAUCCAAAUGUCCAAUAUGGUUGGAUGGCUGUUACUAAAGAUGCCCUAUCCAACAUCAUGCUUUAUGGGCUUGGUCAUGGUAGACCCAUGAUUAUGUCCACAUAUGGCAUUGGAGUUCACUUGACAUCUCUUAAUCAAGCCGAUAUCAGGUUUGCACAUAUAUUCUAUCUUUAAAUUCAUUUAUCAUGUUAAGAGAAUCUAGUAUAAGUAAGAUGCAGAUUUCAACUACCAUAGAAUCAUCUAUGGUGUUUAAUUUUGUUCAUUAGAUGUGGAGUAUUAGUACUGUACUUUUGUGCCCUCCCGCCCUAAAAAAGACAAUUUCUUUUUUCUGAGAUCCAGAUUUUGGUGCUGUAGUGAAGUUCUAUUUCUUGCUCUCUGUUUUGAGGAUAUAUUAUAUGUAUAUCUGUGUGUGUGUAAUUUGUAGUUUGCUUUGUCAGAGGUUUUACUACUUGUUAUCUUGACAGUGCAAGUUACUGUGAUGAUGACGAUAAUGGGGUGAGGUACAUAAUGUUAUGCCGUGUUAUCAUGGGAAAUGUCGAAUUGGUCAAUCCUGGAUCUGGACAGUGCCAUCCCAGUUCUAUACAAUAUGAUAGUGGAGUUGAUGACCUUCAAAAUCCACGCCAUCUAAUAGUUUGGAGUAUGAACAUGAACACCCAUAUUUUUCCAGAGUAUGUUGUCAGUUUCAAGACAUCUUCGAAAGCUGAAGGUGGUAUAUCUAUCCUCAUAUACUUGUUCCUUGUUUGAUUUUCUGGAGUGAUUCUUGCACUCACAGAUCUCCAUCUGCACGCCUUUUUUGUUUUUGCUCUUCAAUUGUUCUUAUUUCCAACCGUGCUCCUAGUCUCAGAAUGUUCUAUCACAAGUACCCAUCUAACAUUGCUGCCACGCUCAACUACAUGAAACUGAAUACGGUCAGUUAGAAAUGAAGGUGGGAUGAACACCUGAAAUCAAUAGGUGUUAAUAGCUAUAAUGACAAUCUGGAACUAUGUAGUGGUGCUCACUUGACAGUUGACAGUUGAUGAUCCCCAGCCAGUAAGUAUGAAUUUAGACCUAGGGUCUUUCUUCUAAUCAACCUAGAAUGAGUCUAUAGUUGCUCAGAUUAGGGAGUGGUCAUUGAUUUUUGGGUUAUUCGAACCUCUUUGAUCAAAUCACUGAGAGGAAAAAAAAAGAAAAGAAGGCGGCAUACUAUGGCAGUGUUAAGUUGGUUUCAUGUAAAGUUAAAACAUGUUAGAACACUGAAACUCAAAGAUUGACUGUUGAAAUAAGAAUAAUUGAAAGGUAGUGCAGAUGGAGAUGUGGGAAGUGUGAAAAUCACUCCUUUUAUUUCUGGAGCCAAAUUCAUUUUUGAAAAUAGUAAUUUGAAGAAAUAUGGACUUGAUUGCAUUUUUUUUUCAAUAUCCUAUUCAAGUAGCUUCUGAUAAUGCAGUCAGAAGGUUUGAAGCAGGCUGUGCAAUCUUUUUAUUUGGUCAUGCUAUCUCCAUACUUAUGAAAUAGGCUAUCCUUUCUCUUUGUACAUCUACGUAUGACUUGUCACUUGCUGGUCCAAAUCUCUGGUGGGUUUUUCACUUACUGGGGACCUCUUGGUUCAUGAAAACCUUUCUUUCGAUCAAUUUUGCUUAGAAAAUGCAAGUAUUGGACCACUAGAACUUUUUGUUGCUACUACAGGGACCAUGGUUACAGAAAGCAGAGGUCCUCUGUCUGGAAUUACAACUAGUGAUGAAUGUCGAGGCCAAUUGCAGUUCAACUGCUCCCCAAUGGAAUCAGUAAGUCCUCCAUUGCGUUGAAACUUAAGCUUAUUGUUUUCUAUUCCGCCUCAUAAUAUCAUCUUCAUCUUGUUUGCAAGAAUGUUAAACAUUGGCGUUAUUUGCAACUUUGCUUUAGUAAAUUGAUGCACAAAUAAUUUGUUGUGCCUAUCCAACAUUAAAGGACUUCUGAUGUUGGUAGUGUAGACGGCUGAAACUGCCUUAACUUCCAUUCAUGAAGCCAUAACUGUUCUGUGAUAUCUAGAAGGCAUCAAAUCCCAUAAUUAUUCUCCUUUAUUCUCUUUCUCUCUCUCUCUCNNNNNNNNNNNNNNNNNNNNCUUCUUCUCUUCUCUCUCUCUCUCUCUCUCUCUCUCUCUCUCUCUCUCUCUCUCUCUAUCUAUAUAUAUAUAUAUAUUCUGGCAAUUCUCUUUCUGGUGCGCCUUCAGACGAAACCUAAGAUCACCCAUCUUCUUGCCUUGGCUUCUCUUAAUAUUGAAGCAGAAUGUGAGGCUUACUUUGAAUCUUUCUUUAUAGACUUGAGCUAUGGCAAGAUGAUAGUUGUAUUAGGUUAUUUGGCAUUGGAUUCUACUAGUGUUAGCCAAAGGAUGUUUGCUUUGGAAUACUUUCGUGUCAGGUUCAAUGACAUGUAGAAUUUACUAGUGUUGAGUCAAAGUGUGGAAUUCUGUUGGUAUACUCUCAGUGUUUCAGUUCAUUUUUUUUGUAUAACUUAUUUAGCAAUUAUGCAUAAGGAUCUACAAGUUGUAUUCUUGAGGUUUUGCUCUCCUUUGUCACUUUUCUGAAUACUUUUUGAUACUUUCAAUGCUUUUUCUGUAGGGGAGGCGUUCUAGGCCAGCUUUAGAAUCCAAGGGAUCACAGGAAAAGCCUGUUGGAAUUGGCUCAAGCUCUUUGGCAGGUCCGAAAUCCCCAUGGAUGCCAUUUCCAGCAUUAUUUGAAGCUAUUUCAAAAGAAGUUGCUCCGAACGAUAUGAAAUUGGUUAAUGUUCACUAUGACCUAUUCAGGGUAUGUAAUUUUGGAUUCUUAGUAUUUAGAUCUUAGUGAAAAUUUCGUUUAUCAUGAUUCUUUCUCUUGUCGGUCACUUAUUAGAGCAAGAAGAUCAGCCGGGAAGAUUUUAUUCAGAAGUUAAGAGCAAUUGUUGGAGAUUCCUUGCUGAGGUCAACCAUAAUAAGCCUUCAGUGCAAGGUAAUGUCAUCUUUAAUGAUGUUAGAUACAUACUUGAUCAGUUCAUGUGGAGCAAUGUCAUGCGUUGUGUAUGUUUGUGGCUGGCCUGUGGAAAACAAGCUCUGACUUGCUUUCACAGUUAAUUUGGCACCCAUAUUUGGCUGGCUUCCCUUUGGUUGGUAUUUUUCAUGAUUUUUGCUUGUAGUUGUAUUCAAUGCUUGCCCUCAUCCCUUUGCCAGGGAGUCUUCUUCAUUCAGGAAGUUUUUUCUUGGAAUCUGUGAAUUCUUAGUUUCGUUACAUGUUUAUAAUUUAUUUAAAAUGAACAAAUUCAUAGCAACUCAUCUCUGAAAGGGAACAAUAUAGAGGUUGUCUGAUGAGUAAUUUAUAUAAAUGGAAUUUAUAUUUAUUAACUUAUGACUGUUCAUUUUGCACAGCUGCCACCAAUCUCUGCAAUCCCUAUGAAACCGCCAAAGCAGGGAGGAGAAUUUGAUGCCGCUUGAUUUGUUAAAUGGUGGUUGGAUCUCUGACUGUCGUUGGGGUCUGGCUGAUGUUUGGUAAGGUUGCUGCUCUCCUAAUGUGUCGACAUGAUGCAAACCAUAUUACCAUUUGACAGAUGGAUAUGGCUUUGUUGGAUUUUUGUCUAUUUAUGCUUUGUACUGAAACUCUGGUUUGAACUCUGGAGUGUAAAGCUGAAUUGGAUUGUAAACUGGUCACUGAUCAUUGUUAGUUCUAGUUUUCUAGCGAAUUUCGGGAAUUUUGAAAUUUCAAAUCUAGUAAAAUCCAUCUGUUUAAUGUCUGUUGGAAAAUGUCCUUUCCUUCUCAAUGAUUCUUACUGGAUCCCUUGGGAAAUUAUAUUGAAUAAUUAGUUAAAGUCUAGAGUGAUCUGAACUUAAGCCAAUAUACUGCCCUGAGAAUUCCUACAAAAAAGCAGCCUUGUAUGUGAGUGCUUAUUUGGCUGUAUGCCAAUCUGAAUUUGAACAUCAGAUUGUUGCCUGAAUUCAAUAUUUUCCUUAAUUUGACCUUUAUAGAUCGUUCGAAUAUGUUUAGUGGUAUGGGGUUAUUGGUGAAUGUGAUUGGUAGUAGGUACACAUGCUUUAGUGUAACUACUACGAUGCGCAGAUAUUGAUUUGGGGUGCAGUAUGAAUGAAACCAAUUACCUAUACAAAGCCAAAUCAUCCCUUGGUCCUAACUCCUGACCCAGAUUUGCAAAUCUUUUUGAACCAGGGAUGUGAGGAUUUGAACUCCAGCUUCGUUUACAUUUCAUUUUUUUUCGUGGUUAGUUUAUCUGUUUUAUUAGAUGAAAUUAAACAAGACAGUGCAUCUAUUUUUUUUUUUUUUUUUCUAGUAAGAUACGUCAAGUUUAUUGAUACAAAAACAUUAUCUUGAUAUUAGUCUCUAAAAAGGGAGGUGAGAAGAGAAAAACAUGGUUUAUUAUAGUGCAUAAAGCAUUUUUGCAGAAUGUUUCAUGUCAUGAUCAUUCAUUCUUCAUGAUCAUUAUGCUUGAAGUAUAAGUGGUGUAUUCCAUUAUUUCAGUUUCAUGCCCAGACUUCGAAAGUAUCAGAACCAUAUUGUUCAAAUGAUUCAAAUUAAUCGGGUUCUCGUUAAUAAACCAGAAUGAUCAGGUAGCGAGCCAAGCAUCCAAUAAGUCUGAACUCUGAAGCUGCUCGUCGAAAAAAAAAAACACAAGUCUGAAGCUUGACCGGUUCUCUAGAUUUGGCAUUUGAGAACACUGGCCACUGGGACUAAGAAUGAUCAGAUGUCAACCAUCGCACAUAGAAGACAUGCUCCAAAGUGUAAUUCAGUACAGUUUUGGAAAAGAGAAUUAGCACGUAUUGCUUGCAAACAAGGUGACAACUCACAAAUAUGCUUCGAUAAUAUAUGCAGUUGUAGCGAUACAGUUUAUGCCUACAUUUUAGAUGCAAAACUAGGGAACUCAUCAGAAAUAUUUUCAAUAAUGCAGCAGUGUCGUUAUUACUGUAAUGUUGAACUUUUCUCCCCUAACAUGGUCUAACCGUAAUUCGUUGAGGCAUUUGCACGAGCAGGACAUCCAUUUGCAAAACCCAUCAUCUAUGGUAAGUUGGUAACAUUUCUCAACACCAAGUUUUGGAGAUUAUUAUGAGAAACUAAGGUGGGUGCUCUAAGAAUUGUAUCUGUGUUGAUGAAUAGAGACCUCAAAUAUCCAGAAAAGUAGAUACAAGAUGGCAAUUCUAGCAUCACCCCUAUCUGAUAUGUGCAGUCUCAAUUGAAGCUCAAGCACUUCAACAUUACACCUUAAUGCAAUAUGGAUCCAGAGAGACCUGCAUAGAAGUUCCAAUCGAUACGAAAUCGCUGUAUCCUAUUAGCCCCAUGAAGAAUCAUGAACCUAUCUAUAGAAUUCAACAGUUUAAACGGAUCCUGCCUGUUUAUUGCGAUAUAGAAACCUCUGCAUCUUUUGGACACGCUGCCCACUUGAACGACUUGUCGAAAACUGAAGCCUGACAGUUUGUGAUGAGCCAAAUUGUUGGGUAGAUUACUAAAUCUAUCGACUACUCUUCCUACAGGCUCCUGGAGCUUGAGAACUUGCAGUUGCAAAUAACAUAGUCCGUGGUACCUGGUUUCUCUAUGUUCCUGUGGGAGAAAUUAACACCUACUAGUUUCAAAGGACAUGAGAUCAAAACUUGUAUAAAUACAUGGUGCCUAAGACCAUUUAAAUAUCUAAACUCUAUAUGCUCUAUUAUAUUUCACAUUUUAUGAGUCCAUAUUUAAGCACCUCUAAACAGGCACACAACAAGAAAACUGUAAUGAGAGGGAGGAAACUAUCAGUUGAAUCAAAUGCAAAUUGAGGAGCCAAAAAAGGACAAGAAAAUCGUAAAAUUAAUAUAAAUAAAGGGGACAUUAUGAAAAUGAAUGCAAAUUUAAGUACAGCUAACCCUUUACAGGUUUCCUGGUUGGUUAAUAGAACUACUCAAUUCCAAGAUAUCAACAAAAGUUUACACUGAAGCAGCUGCAAUUUAUCUCGACAAGAACCCAUAUUCUGAAAUUGCAAUCUCAAAUGCUUGAAUCCUUUCCCCGGUAGCAAAGCCAUUGCGAUCAUAAGACGAUAUUUCACCUAUGUUGAGAUCACUGCAGACUUGAAUCAACUUCUCGCCAACGCGUUUAGCAGCUUCAGCGGUACUACAAUUGGGAUCCUGACGGAUAGAUUUCUGCAGUGUGCUUCCAUAAAACAAACACUUGUUGUUCUGGUCAUCUACCAGCAUAGCAUACAAUUGUUUGUCUGAACAGAAGACCGAAAGCCUCGGCUUCGUGGGCGUGCCGUUGUACUUCUUCUGCAUUCUUCUGUUUCGAGUUUUUGCACUUUCAGUUCUGGCAGGCUGCCUCGCUCUCAUUACUACCGACUUCAUGGAGAAUUUUCUUAUAGUCUGCAAAACUUGAAAGUUGGAAGUUGCAGAACGACUCCCUAAAAGAGCAGAAGACAUAAACUGGAGAGCAGCAACGUUCACUAGAGCCAUACCUCCACCCUGCAAAUUGGGUAUCAUUGAAAACAAACGAAAAUCUGCGAAAAUUGCAAAGCAAGUUCAUUGAGACAUUUCAUCGAGCACCUUAUGGGUCCAGUUAUGAUGCAUUAAAACAUUCUUUGCAUAAAGCUCUACGAAAGUUGGACGCUUUGUCUGUGACCAGAAUGGUGGCAGCAGCUUACCAACAAGCACACAUCAAUCAUAAGCUUGUAGAUCACUUAUGAAUUCAGUUCAAUAAGCUAACACUUAAACGCAGUUUCACAAAGAAGAAAACUUGGGGACCAGACAAACCAACCCAAGUCCAUAUGCAAUGGAUGUAAACAAAGUGAUCAAAUUUCCAAAUUUGUUAGUUAUCUACUUUAGGGUAAUUGCUAGCAUCUAAUCUCUUUUAGGGUAGAGUGUUUGUCUAAAGAAAAAGCAUCCAUAAGUAAAUUUCAGGUUUUAUAUGCAAAAGGAGUAACACAUAGACAAGGAUAAGAUGCGGAAAGCAAGGUAUUUAAAACAGUAAUACUGAAACAAACGUGCUGCUCGUUUAUAAAGAACUCAUAGGAUCCACAAACAACCUAACAAGUAAAAACAAUCAAAACAUUCUUUUGCUCCUACCCACGUCACAGUCAUUUUAUGAUGCAAAACCACAAAAAGAAAGAAUCAAGCUUGCAGUAACUUCAAAUGUUCCAUUUCUGUUUCUUAGCUAGAUGAAAAAUCAAAGUCUACACAAAUUCCAAAACCUCUCAUUUUGAAACUCGCUGCUGAGUCAAGCUGAACAUGAGCCUACGCUUGAUGAUCCAACUUAAUGGAUUCACGUCUGUUCAAGGAAAACUCAAGGAACCCUGAAAAGCUGCACUUGAGCUGAGCAUGCAGGAAGAUACCAAAUUUGUGAAGCAGACAGAUGACAAUGCCAUAUGAGCUCUUUAAAACAGUUGGCCCAUGAUUCGAGCUCCAACUUUUGUACUGAAGAAAAGUGUCGGGAAUAUAUUUCAAAUCAUCAACUCUCUUAUUUUUCAUUAUAACUUGGCCUGAUUGCGCGGCAGUGUAGCAUCCAAAAGCCAAACUCUAAUUGUGAUGAUUGUAUAAAUCCCACUUGUAUGACAUGGCUAUACUUCUGGCAUAUAGAACUGAUAAUUUGAUGGAAGUCAUUUCUCACUACACCUUCCCAUUCCUCUAAAUGUUGUUCUACACAUGCAUUUGAAUAUGAAUGCCAACAAAAGAUAGCGAAGAUAGAUAACAAGAGUUCAGGGUCAACAUGAUUUGCAGCGUCAGUGCUGACCCUAGAGCUCACAGUAACCAAAAGAUUAGAUUCAGUUCAGAGGAAGUUGCCCACAAUGUCAGAACAUAUGAAGCUUCUUAAACCAAUGACAUUCCUGAUGGGUAUUAGGAACGAUAUAUUAGAGAUUAUCAGGUUCAUAUCAACUUUGAUAUAUCUCUAAUGAUCGAAGACCAACACUUAGUUAUUCAACCAAUAAAUCCAAGAACUCAAACUUAAGUUGCUUAGCCUUAAACAAUCAAUGGAUGAAGGAAUAAAAAUAAAAUAAAAUAAAUUUAAAUAGUCUCACAUGCAUUUCAUCAAACAGGUGGUGAGCAACAAUAUCAGUUUGUCAAAUGCAUUCUUACACAUAAUACUGUCAAGGACUGGGUCAUUGAUGGUUCAGAAUCACAAAACGUAAACAGAAACGAAGAAAAGCAAAAACCCAGAAAGCCCCAGAACUGAAAACACUACCUGGAAUCAAAAAAAGAUUGGCAAAAAAAUUUGGACCAUUUCUCGAUUUAUGCGUGUCAUCCUUGCGCAGGGGCCAUGCUAAUCUUCUCUGUAUCGUUCCAAUUUUAUCGGAUGUCCCCGAAGGGACGAGCUCUACUGUCAUGUCUUCCAAAAUAAACAGCCUUCUGUUUUCGCUUUUCUGCGAUGUGGGAUCAUAACAAAAGCACGUGGGCCUCACGUGUCGUCUCUCUCAAAGCGCAAUUGUAUGGGACUAUUGAAGGGGAUAGACAAGUAACCGUAACUUCACCAUGACCAAUGGCUUCUGAUGGAAAUCAUCCCCUUCUUUUUGUUCUUUCUGUUUGGAUUUAGGAAUCAAGAGCUUUAAAUCCCUGUCACAAAAGUUUGGUCUUAGCUGCUUGGAACUGAUCAUGAGUAAGAUUGUGUUUCGCUUCUGUAGCCUAAAACUUAACCAGUAUUGCUCUACAUAUUCAUAAGUUAGAAACAGAAUCAGACUCUGCUAGUCUUGUGUUCAAAUCUGCAACUCUUGAUCUUCACCUUCUUGGUACCCUCGUCUUGAAGUAUGGAGCAAUUUGAUACUUGCGGGUAUAAGCAUAUUCGUAACUCAUAAGGGAUGUACAUGCAUACAAGUAGCUGAAAUCCUUGCUAAGGAUUCAACACUCUUCGGGUGUCCGCACUUUCACUUCCCCUCCUGCCAAGGUAGUUGAAGCCUUGUUCUUUGGUGUAGCUAGACACAAAUAGCCGAGUAGUUGCCUUUCCUGUUCUUCUCUAUUUGAUGGGUAGGUGACUAGUUGCCUUCAUUCAAAAAAAAAAAAAAAAAAAGUUUCUUUUCUGGAUGAAAAAAUAGUGGCCGAGCGAGCUAUAGGUCUAGGCCGGAGCGAGCUUUAGGUAUGACCUUUCUCAAAAGAAUCUUUCCACAAGAUGAGGUUGACUAUUUUGCAGUCCGACUUGCUUCCAUUAGACCAGUCUUAUUAAACAAGAAUACAAUUUUUUUUUUAUAAUUCUUUUAGAUGAAUGCGAUAACUGAUAUUAAAUUAUAACUAAGAUGUAUAUAGAGUGAUUCAGAAAUAUCAUAACAAGAUACACAAAAUUAUCUAUAACAAGAAAAAACAAUAAAAGAAAACAAAACGCAUGAAUACAUCUAAAAUGAUAUAUAACCAUAGAACUGUACAUGGCCCUUCCAAUGAGGGAUCCCUAUUUUAAGCCAUUUAUAGGGAUAGGGCAUUACACCAACUUCCCGACUAUAAUUUUACAUCUCCACCGUUCAUAUCUUAGGUCUAUAUGAGUAGAUCAUCUCUACAAAAUUUCAUAUGAUUUGGUGAUCGUUAAGACUUUCAAAAGUUCAAUUUAGUUUUAAUGACCUUCAACGGUUUAGUUUGACNNNNNNNNNNNNNNNNNNNNACCUUCAACGGUUUUAGUUUGACAUAAGCUGGACCGUUCAAGAUCAUUAAAACUAAAUCAAACUUUUGAAAGCCUUAACGAUCACCAAAUCAUAUGAAAUUUUGUAGAGGUGAUCUACUCAUAUAGACCUAAGAUAUGAACGGUGGAGAUGUAAAAAUUCAAUUGGGAAGUGGUGUAAUGCCCUAUCCCUAGAAAGUGGCCAAAAAUAGGGAUCCCUCAAUGGAAGGGGGCUGUAGAACUGUAUGCCUAUUGAUGCAUUAUAUAUGUCAUGAAAGCUAGUGUAAGUGUAGGAAUAACUGUAACCAUGAUCGUUACCAGAACCAAGGAGAUACAACCAUUACGACAUUUUAUAACUACUUAGUAUUUAUAAUAAAUUUUCACAACACGUAACAUUUCACUGUCUUAUUAUAAAUAAUUCACAUGACAAACACCUGUUUUAUGUUUUAUUGACACCACUUUUAUUCCACAAUGACAUUUCUAUUUAUACUUUCACUGGUUUGUCCCCACGUCUCAAAAAUAUAAUUAAAUUUUUAUUUUGCAAUUUUUGAACACCGCCUUGUGCAACACACACCUUGGGCAACACACCAAUGCGAACCUUCCAUAAUACACUUUCACCCGCACGAUCAACUCAACGGCUCCGAUUCAGCGGUUUAUACAACUAAAAGAGAGACCCACCGCCUCCUACAAUACCCUAUGAGAAGAAUAUUGGAGAAAUCAGAAAUUGCUAAGUUGGUUCGGUAGGCUUAACUUUAGCCUCACGUUCUCAAAAGUCGAAACGUUUCUUCGCUGGCUUCAAAUCAAACUAGGUUUUCUGAGCCUCCUUUGAUUCUCAGUCUUUAGGGCUUUUGUUCAAUUUCACUGGAUCACUUCAGGUCCUUCCUUCUUUUUUCUGUAUGGACUUUUUUUUGUUGUUGAUUUUUUAGAUCCAUCUAAGGGCUCUGAUCUUGGUACUAGUUUGAUUAUUCUUUGACGUUUUGAAUUUGGAAUCACUGAUUGUUGUGUUGCAAUUAAUUAUCGUUCUGAAAUUGUAUUGCUGCAAUCAGAUUCGAAUUCAUUUUUUGUUUUUUUUGUUUUUGCUUUUAGUAUUUGACUUUGGUGAUUUUAAGGAUUCAGAAUGUAAAUCCAGUUCUAACAACUUGAUUUUAGACAAGUUAAUUAUUAUGUGAAUAAUUAUGGUUUCUGAUUUAACUGUUGAAUUUCAUGAUAGACUCGUAUAAUUGAAACUGAGAAAUUACUCUUCAUUUUAAUGGUUUUGGCUUCAGUCUGUAUGAUUUGUUAGAAUUCGUACUCAUGGUGCUGUCUUCUUUGCAGGUUUUAUAUUCAGAUUCACCGUAUUUGGGUAGUCAAACUCAUCUACAGAACUUUCAAGCUCACCUCACAAAAUUACUGAAUACAACUAGUGGUAGAAUAGAUGUGUGAGUGAUUUUAUAUUAUUUUAUAUUUUUUUAAAUUUACUUCAUAUCAGUGUAUUACAUAGAGAUUUUUCACUGAGGGUGUGUUUUGAUUGUUUCAGGAUCGAUACAGUUAAUUGGUAGGAGAAACAAAUAGAGGUAGUUUCUCUUGAUUGGUGUUUUUCUUCCUGCAUUUGAUAAUUUUUAAUUCUUAUCUUCUUUAGUGGGUUCUGUUUCAGUCAUUGCAAGAAGAAUUACCAUUUUCUGGUUACUCGCACAUAUACGUUGUUCAGAAACAUGACUUGUACGAUAUGUCCUGCUACUACAGAAUACGGUACGGUUUUGUGUGUUUCUUUUUCCUAUGGUUCUGUUGUUUAUAUUUGCUUCUUUCACUUAAGAAGGGGAAGUACUUCUAUAUUCUUGUGCCUGAUUUUGAACCGACACUCGAAGUUAGAAUAUUGAACUUCUGUGUUGUAAAAGAUGUUAUACAUAUAAAACGUGCAACUUAUCAUUAUAAAUUGCUUGGGUGUUAAAGGCAUCAUGUUUCACCUGUUUCUUUUAAUCAUUGGUGGUGGUCGGAAAUACCCAGCUUUUCUUUGCCUUUUUUAUGUAGUGAGGUCAAUAAAAGUUAUUAUCUUUGACCUGUAUUAUGGAACUGGACGUGUAGCAUGAAAAGAUAUAUGAUUAAGCUCACCAGUAAAUACUCUUACAUGCAGAUUUUACCUUCUGGUAAAUGAAUUAGAAUUAGUAUAAUGAGAGAUGCUAUAUCUUAAAUGCAGGCUAUGCAAAUUUGUCUCCAUGGAACAAUUUCUCCAUUCCCGGAACUGAAGAAAAGUAUUGUACAUUGUUUUUAGAGCAUUUAGGAUUUAGUCUGUAAAUAGGGCUUUUCCGUAUAGAUAAAUGGAAACAGACAGGGUUAAGGUCUUGGAUGAUGACCACCACAAAAUAGUUGUCAAUUUGAAGGGGAAAAGGGCAACAAAUAGUGCAGCACUUAUAGUCGGAGCUAGUCGCCCAGUGUUGUCUCGACAGUCCAGCUCACCUUCAUCGUUUAACAAACUUGGCAAGCGUAAGCGAUCUAAUGAAUGCAGAAACAAGUGUAGAUCAAACUUCAGAAGCUCCGUGCUAAAAAACUAUACAAAUUUCAGCAAAAGUGGGCUUCCUCAGCGAUUUCUAUACUAUGAAUCUGGGGACUGGAUAGACUUUCCUCAUGGAGUUGUUGACUUGGUCAGGGAGCACUUUCGACUGAAAAAUGCAGUUAUAAAUGUGGAUUGGAACGGCUGCCAUUUGUUGCUAGAUAUUCUG
rnacentral:lncRNA from 1 species